GACUUCUGCAACUAAUUGGGCAACAAAAAGAGUUGGGGCUUCAACGGGACUUGCUCGUUUGACAGAGUCCCCAGCAGAAAGCGUUUCAGACAGAACAACCGCAGUCAUAACAACAGUGGAUCCUUCAAUAUCCAUUGCACAGUCUCAAGCAACAUUAGAGGAUUUUGUGACGUCUGAUGCACUGACAACUGUCUUGCCAACAACUUAUGCUCAAACUCCACAUGCUGUUUCCAUUCUGAAGACAAAUACAGCAGAUCCAUUUACAUUUAUUUCCCCAUCAACAGCUGAACUGUCACCUACUGUUCCCCAUAUAAAAUAUAAUUCGACAACAACUUACUCCUCAACUUCAGUUUCAUUCAUAACUGGAAUUUCCUUAAAAACAACAGUUGAAAUGAGAGCAACAAGCCAAGCUCUGACAAAAAGGACUGCAAUCAUUUUGCAUGUAAUUAUAUGUGAAAAAUUUAUAAACAAACUGAACGACCCACAGAGCAGAGAAUUUAAAGAACUCGUGAAGAAAUUUGUGACCUGGUGUGAAAAAGCACCAUAUGGAAUGAACAUUUCUCAUUGCAAUGUGGAAAAAUUCAGAAAAUUUGGAAGUACAUCACCUAAAGAUAAGA